GACGAACGCUGGCGGCGUGCCUAAUACAUGCAAGUCGAACGCAGUGGGGACGGGUGAGUAACACGUGGGUAACCUCCAAUCAGAGGGGAUAACACGUGGAAACAGGUGCUAAAGAGAUAAAGAUGGAUGAACCCGCGGUGCAUUAGCUAGUUGGUGAGGUAACGGCUCACCAAGGACACGAUGCAUAGCCGACCCUAGAGGUUGAUCGGCCACACUGGGACUGAGACACGGCCCAGACUCCUACGGGAGGCAGCAGUAGGGAAUCUUCGGCAAUGGACGAAAGUCUGACCGAGCAACGCCGCGUGAGUGAAGAAGGUUUUCGGAUCGUAAAACUCUGUUGUUAGAGAAGCGGUAUCUAACCAGAAAGCCACGGCUAACUACGUGCCAGCAGCCGCGGUAAUUC
rnacentral:rRNA from 1 species